UCGCGAAAACUUCACAAUGGGGGCAACCCCGAUGAGGGAAUUCCUAGUGCUAGCACAUUUGUGUUAGCUUUUCUUUAGCUUAGAAAACUAGAGGAAUAAGGGCUGGGUAAGACGGGUGCCAGCCGCCGCGGUAAUACCUGCAGCCCAAGUGGUGGUCGAUUUUAUUGAGUCUAAAACGUUCGUAGCCGGUUCGGUAAAUCUUUGGGUAAAUCGGGGGGCUUAACCUUCCGACUUCCGAGGAGACUGCCGAACUUGGGACCGGGAGAGGCUAGAGGUACUUCUGGGGUAGGGGUAAAAUCCUGUAAUCCUAGAAGGACCACCGGUGGCGAAGGCGUCUAGCUAGAACGGAUCCGACGGUGAGGGACGAAGCCCUGGGUCGCAAACGGGAUUAGAUACCCCGGUAGUCCAGGGUGUAAACGCUGCAGGCUUGGUGUUGGGGGUCCUUCGGGGGCGCCCAGUGCCGGAGAGAAGUUGUUAAGCCUGCUACUUGGGGAGUACGUCCGCAAGGAUGAAACUUAAAGGAAUUGGCGGGGGAGCACCGCAACGGGAGGAGCGUGCGGUUUAAUUGGAUUCAACACCGGAAAACUCACCAGGAGCGACGGUUACAUGAAAGUCAGGCUGAUGACCUUACUAGAUUUUCC
rnacentral:rRNA from 1 species